rnacentral:rRNA from 1 species
GGGUGCGAUCAUACCAGCAGUAAUGCACCGGAUCCCAUUAGAACUUCGCAGUUAAGCGUGCUUGGGCGAGAGUAGUACUAGGAUGGGUGACCUCAUAGGAAGUCCUCGUGUUGCGCCCC